rnacentral:tRNA from 1 species
GGAGUUGUAGCUCAGUGGCAGAGCACUUGCCUAGCAUGCAUGACGCACUGGGUUCAAUACUCAGCACCA